rnacentral:rRNA from 1 species
GAUGAACGCUGGCGGCGUGCCUAAUACAUGCAAGUCGAGCGAACGGACGAGAAGCUUGCUUCUCUGAUGUUAGCGGCGGACGGGUGAGUAACACGUGGAUAACCUACCUAUAAGACUGGGAUAACUUCGGGAAACCGGAGCUAAUACCGGAUGAUAUUUUGAACCGCAUGGUUCAAAAGUGAAAGACGGUCUUGCUGUCACUUAUAGAUGGAUCCGCGCUGCAUUAGCUAGUUGGUAAGGUAACGGCUUACCAAGGCAACGAUGCAUAGCCGACCUGAGAGGGUGAUCGGCCACACUGGAACUGAGACACGGUCCAGACUCCUACGGGAGGCAGCAGUAGGGAAUCUGCCGCAAUGGGCGAAAGCCUGACGGAGCAACGCCGCGUGAGUGAUGAAGGUCUUCAGAUCGUAAAACUCUGUUAUUAGGGAAGAACAUAUGUGUAAGUAACUGUGCACAUCUUGACGGUACCUAAUCAGAAAGCCACGGCGAACUACGU